rnacentral:rRNA from 1 species
CAGUCGCCACGGGAAUACGUAGGUGGCAAGCGUUGUCCGGAAUUAUUGGGCGUAAAGGGCUCGCAGGCGGUUUCUUAAGUCUGAUGUGAAAGCCCCCGGCUCAACCGGGGAGGGUCAUUGGAAACUGGGAAACUUGAGUGCAGAAGAGGAGAGUGGAAUUCCACGUGUAGCGGUGAAAUGCGUAGAGAUGUGGAGGAACACCAGUGGCGAAGGCGACUCUCUGGUCUGUAACUGACGCUGAGGAGCGAAAGCGUGGGGAGCGAACAGGAUUAGAUACCCGGGUAGUCCCUGUCUCUUAUAC